rnacentral:rRNA from 1 species
UACGAAGGGGGCUAGCGUUGUUCGGAUUUACUGGGCGUAAAGCGCACGUAGGCGGAUCGAUCAGUCAGGGGUGAAAUCCCUGGGCUCAACCCAGGAACUGCGUCCGAUACUGGUUGGCUUGAAUCCGGGAGAGGGAUGUGGAAUUCCAGGUGUAGCGGUGAAAUGCGUAGAUAUCUGGAGGAACACCGGUGGCGAAGGCGACAUCCUGGACCGGUAUUGACGCUGAGGCGCGAAAGCGUGGGGAGCAAACAGG